UACAGAGGGUGCAAGCGUUGCUCGGAAUCAUUGGGCGUAAAGGGCAAGUAGGUGGUCUCAUUUGUCUCGUGUGAAAGCCUUGGGCUUAACCCAAGAAGUGCGCGAGAAACGGUGAGACUCGAGUUCUGGAGAGGGUCGUGGAAUUCCCGGUGUAGCGGUGAAAUGCGUAGAGAUCGGGAGGAACACCAGUGGCGAAGGCGACUACCUGGCCUGAUUCUUGACGCUGAGGCGCGAAAGCUAGGGGAGCAAACGGG
rnacentral:rRNA from 1 species